UUACGGCCACAUCAUCCUGAAACACCGGUUCCCGGUUCCCAUACGAUCAUAGAAGUUAAGCAACGUCGAGAUUGGUCAGUAUCUAGAUGGGUUACCGCUUUGGAAUAGCAGGUGCU